UCAUCUCUUAAGUGGCGCAAACGUAUUGGUCACCUUUUCCAUGUCAUCAAACUCAGAUCAGGAUUUCCCACCUCUUCUUGUCAUGUGGCAUCUUCCAAGGUCGAAGGAACCAAAGUGAGAAAACAUGGCUGGAUGGUGAGGACCUUAACCAGAAGAAAAUCCAGGAAAAGUAAAACUUGAGUUUUUGUUUUCAUAUAUUUAUUUAUUAAACUUAGACAAAUAUGUUGAUGCUUUUGUUUAAAGAAGAAAUAUAUGUUGAAGUUUUUUUUGUAAGUAAUGAUAACAUGGAUUGAAAAACGACUGCAAAAAUCCAUAAAUUAAAUUGUUAAAAUUUAUUAUAUUUUGUAAAAUUAGGUAUAUCACAUAUAAUGUUUUGGUUUUAAAUGAGUAAUUUACAUAUAAUAUACAUAUAAAUUUAUCCAAAAAAAAUUACAUAUAAUGUGUUGGCAUGUGGUCUAAGAUGUAUAUGUUUAUGUAUGUGUGUGUAAAAGGGACAAGAGGUUUGCCCUUUAGGCCUUUACCAUACUUCUUUGUUGGCAUGUGGUCUAAGAUAAAGUCAUUAAGAAGGGAGAAGGGUCAAACUAGCCUUUUAUCGUUAUUUCUACAUUACAAAAGAGAAAGUGUGUGAAGAAAAAAGAAAAGAAAAAGUAAGGUAAAGAUAUAGAGAAAAAAAUACAAAAGCGGGUUGCUUUAAAAUAAAUAAUUUUGCAUGGGACUCUUGGAAAAUUUCUAUGACUUUUAGUGCUCACUUAAUUACCUUUUUCCUUAUUUUAUAAAGAAAAUAAAUGAGGAUAGUACAAAUUAUAAUGUAAUAAGAUAGUCCAUGUUAGGUUGUUCACAAUAGUGGGAAACAUUGUAGCACAAAAAGAUGGACCCAAAACAUUACCCCAUUCACAUUGUCUUGUAGCUGUCUCUUUUGUGUACAUUGUAAGUUUCCAAAUCCUAAUUCAAUACUCCUUCUGUUCCUUAUAGAUCCAUUUUUUAGAAAAAAAAUUUGUUUCAAAAAGAUACAUUUUUUUACAUGUUCAAAACAUUAAUUAAUGAAAAAUUGUACUUUUCAAAAAAUACAAUUGUGUUUAAUAAAAUCUCAUUGGUUAAAAAUUAUUGGAAAUAGUUAAUUAAGAAAAACAAUGUAUUAGAAAAUACAAUUUUAAAUAUUUUUUUAAUAAGUGUGGAAAAACUAUAACAUAGAUCUUUUAGGAACAGAGUGAGUAGUUUUUUGUGAUAAAUAUUAUGUUGGAAAUUGUUGAGAUAGUUACAGAACAUCGCAUUAUGCUGGAGAAUGGUCAUGUUAUAUGCAUCUAAAUUUUACCAAAGUUCAAAUAGAUUCGAAAUGAAAUAGGUGGAAAUGUAAAAUCAAUAGUAGUUGAUUCUUGACAAUGCUGAUUUUGAUGUAUGAUCUUUAUUGAUUGUUUGACGUGACCAUUCAAAGAAAAAGUUGCUUUAGUUUUUUCUAAGUUCAACAAGCUUAGGAAAGCAAUGUGACUAUGUGGUAAGACAUGAUGCGAAAGAAAACCUAAUUCUUAGGUUGAUUGAACGACGGGAGGACAUUUGUUUGUUUUGUUUACUUUUGUCUACUUUCUUUUCGUCCUUUUUGACCUUUUCAUAUUUUGUAUCAAAGUAUUAUAAAAAAUAUCGAGUAGAUUAAUUAGCUGGAUGUCAAGUAACUGAAUGUUUUUAUUUUGGUCAGUAGGAGCACCUUUCAUUCAAAUCGAAACUUAAAACAAGUUAUAGUAAACCACGUAAGAAGUCAGGAUGUCAUGCUAUCGUUUUGGUCAGGACUCAGUCAGAAGUACGUUUUUUGGUUAAGAUGAUAUGCCAUCGGUUGGGACCUAUGCGAUUUUAUAGCACAUGUGGAAUGUUGAUAUCUAUGAAUGAAAAUUUUAUAAGUUUUUUUAAAAUUUCGUAAAUUUGGGUUUUCAUUUGUCGAGAGCGUUGGCUGUAGGGUUAAACGGGACCAUUUUCAUAGAUGAUCGUAUUCAAAACUAGGAGCAGGACCACGCACCUUUAUUUUUUUACCUAACUUAUUGAUUUGGAACAAUUAAAUGAAAAUUUUAAGAAAAUUAUUAUCCCCAAUUGAUUGAUCCAAUAAAACCUUUCAAUUAAUUAGCGCGCACACAAAAGUAUUGGGAAAUUUCAUAUGAUGGCCAAGACAAGGAUCGUUGAUCAGGAGUCAAGACGUGAACUCCACUGCUCUGUAUAUAUGGACACAAACAGAUAUCACAUAAACGGAUCAUAUAAUACUAUAUAUAGGGGCGGUUAGUUAAAAAUGUUUUGGAUAAUUAACAGGUUACAAACUUAUAUCCUAUUGAAUGGUAAUGCAUGGUUUCUAUUAUAUAUUUAAACGUUUAGUCAUUGAUUAAUGAGUGACAAGAACAUGUGGGAUUCAAAUUUCAAAGUCUUGAACUACUGAACAUGACGUCUAUACUUAAUACCUAGAAGAGCUGCUUCAACUACAACACGUCUCCAGUUUAUUAUCUGACGAUAUAUGCAUAUUUGUACUUAUUUCACUAAAAUACUCGAUUUGCCUUUAUUUGUUUUCAUACUCGGUUUUGGAGAAACAAUCAUAUAGGAUUGCUAAGGGGUACUUUUGCUGCAGCUAUUUCUAGCCUGAUAAUCUUGUUUGUCCUCAACUCUUUCAUCUAAUGCUCUGUUUCAAAAAGGAAACACAAAAGAUGUUGUCAGUCCCUUUUAGUGGCAUGUUAUGAAGUAACAAAGGUUUCAUUAUUAGGUUGUGCUCAUUCUUGGUCGAGUUUAGUGGAUAGUUAGUUUAGUGCUACUGUAUUUUGAGAGUGGCUUGGAUGCAAGAAAACUGUGAAGCCGAUAAGCGAAGUCACCUCUUGGUUUUAUAUGUUUCCAAAAGUCCAUAAUGCAUUGUUGGUUUUUGUUUUCUUGAGUGUUAUGCUCCUUUCAAUAUUGUUUCCCAUAGACCUUUCAGUUUCUUAGGAGGGAGAUGGUUAUAGUGUUUUGAGGGAUCGAACAUGUUUCUUUUUCUCUUCAUCAGAUCCUUUGAGUUUGUGAUGUGCUGAUUAGUAAUACCGUGAUCUUGGAAUCAGCAAUGGUUUCUAACGAUGAGCUUGUGAAACAACAUGCUAAAGUUGCAGAAGAUGCUGUUACGGCCAGUAACUUACUGCUAAGUCUAUUUCCUUUGGAAUACCUUUUCCGGGUGGAAACCUUUUCUGUUGUGGUUUUUCAAGGAUGGGAGAAAGCCGGGAAUGAAGUGGUUGAGCUGAAUCAGAUGCUCGAGGAUGCAGGCAAGGAGGACAUUGUGUUACAAGAUAGGGUUAAGUCAUCUCAAUGGGGAAGUAGUGUGUUAGACAAGUAACGCAAUCAAGAGAUGAAACAAGAAAAGCAGAAUUAAGAAGCUAUGACUGAAAAAACCAAAGGGGUUCUUAGAAACUCGGUCCCAAUACUUGCCACAAACUACUCAUAACAUUAAAAGAUAACUGACUUCAAAAAGGAAAAAAUUGACAAAAACAAAAGAAAACAGGCAAAGCCAUUAUUGUUUUAGCAGAGUGCAUGUAAAAACUCUAACGAAUACAGACACCUUCUCUCUCUCUACUGUGUAUUUUCCUCAAAACUACCAAACUAGGCUAGCAGCUAAGAGACGGAACACACUUCUCCUUUUCAGAGCUCGUCCUUAACGGCCUCAGUUGUCGUUUCCUCCUUCUUAGGCUCUCCAGCGGUGUCCUUGUUCUUGUCGAUGAAGCUUAUGAUGUCUUCCUUUGUCCUGUCUCCAUCGUAAAGCACAAUGUUUCCGCUCGCUGAUCUCAAGUAAAUGGUUGGGAAGCCCUUCACAUCGAAGGUGUCAUUUGGGAAGUCGUUUGCGGUUGCGUCCUGGACAAGCCAAAGUGUUAGAAUAAAACCGCAGAUGAUCAACCAACAAACUCUACAUGUGAAAAAGAAAAAAAAAUGACUUACGAGCUUGGCUAUGACAACACUUGGGUCGCUUUGGUAUGACACAGCGACUUCGUCCAAGAUGGGAACUAGCUUUUGGCAGUGUCCACACCAUGGUGCAUAGAAUUCAAGCAAGACUGCAAAUAAACAAAGAGGAAAGAAAAUUCAUUUGUAAGUUUUCUUUGCUACCAGCGAAAAGGUUUUUUGAGAUUUGAUAAUGUGAUGUGACUCACCGUUCUUUCCAGAGUUGAAGACCAUCUCGUCAAGGCUCUCAGCAACAACAACCUUUACAGGCUCGUUGUUUUCGGUUGGGAUGGGUUGAGAUUUUUUGUGUGCGGCAACUUUUCCAUCCUUGAAGUCCUUGACCCACGAUUCAAUCUGGUCAAUCUCAAUGUUUGUUUUCAGAUACUUCUUGUCGUCAGUAGUCUGGAUGAUGAUGAGAGGAACUUGGCUCUCUUCAAGUCCAAAGUACUGUUAUUUGUUCAGAAAAAAGAUAGUAAUCUGCUUAGCAUUUUGUAACUAACACGGGAUGAAACCACUAGGAGGCAGAGAGAUAGUCGAGGUAAGACUAACCUGGAAUGCGCCUUGGCUGUUCUCAGCAUCACCGAGAAGGAAGCUAAGACCCUGUCCUUUGUAGGAUGUAGCAACUUCACGGUACUUUGAUUUAAGAGACUCAGCUCCUUCUCCGGUAAAGUUAAUGAACAACAUCGCCUGAAACACAAAAUAUUACCCACAAUCAAAACCACCACAAGGUUGGAAACUAUAGGAUCAAUGAGAAACCUUAGUAAUAAGACUCAAAAACAAACUAUAGACGCUACUAUCUAAAUUCAGCUAAUAUGGACGCUAUCACAAUUAACUUCUAUGCAUUAGCUCAUUUCAGUUAAUAUACAAAUCAAACAAUCCUUAUCCACUAAAAAUAAAAGGCAUACAUAAAAUCCGUCUUUCUGGUUUAUCAUGAUCUUUGUUACAGCAUGAUGGGAUUUAAAACAAUGAGUUACCUUAGUGUUGGAGCUGUCAAAGAAUUUGAUAACAUAUGGGUGGUUGUUUGGAUCCUUGUCAAAGACGGUGAUAAGCGGAAUGCUUGAUUCUUUGACAAAUUUCUCCAAAGCUUCUCCAUCAAAAUCCUGGAUUGCAACAGAAGAAAAAAUCAAACAAACAGGACCACCUAUCUAUGUCAUAAACAAAGUGAAAAUCUUUUUCUCUUGUACCUUGGAAUCAACAAACAGUUCAUCGAAUGGUUUGAACAGCCUGACAACCGGUCCUGUCACAGCCUCUCCGCGAGGAAGAAGCUUGGCAUCCGAGGUGUGUGCGAAGUCAUAGUCAGAGCGCAGUUUCUCAGCAGUAGCCAAGAAAGAAUCAAACUCGGAGCCAGAUAGUUUAGGGAAAACACCAACCUAAAACAAGAGAACGUGCCAUUAAUAAUAAAACAGAGACACAAAAAAAACGAAAAGGAAUAUGUUUGUGACACACUUACCACAAUAACCUUCUUGUCAAACUCAGAAGCAUCCUCAGCUGCCUUGAUCUCAAACGAAGCAGGCCCGCUUUGUUUCUUCAAAUAAGUAACAAUCCCGUCAGCUUCACGAGGCCCGUUGUAUUCCUGAACAGCUUUCCCUCCGUUUCUAAAGAUCUUGAUCGUCGGGAAGCCCUGAACCUCGUACUGAGUCGCAAACUCUCUGUUGGUCUCCUCGCUCGCAUCAAUCUUAGCGAGUACCACCGGAGGCACGUGACUGCUCAACUCUGACGCAGCCUUCUCGUACUGUUAAAACAAACACAAUCUGAGUGGCUAUUCAAAAGACAUGCUAAGCCUAAAUCACGUGACUGAAAAGCCAUAUGUUUACCUCAGGAGCUAGCUGCUUGCAGUGUCCACACCUGCAAGAUCCAAUGAUCGAAUGCAAGAUUAAGAUCCAAUACAAAGACGCGUCAAUUACAGAUUCAAUCAUUCAAAUUCCACAACUAGAACCAAAAUAUCUCCCUAAUAAACCAGAUCAGCUACACAAUAGAUCGGAGAAGGAAUCAUUCGCAUGCAAUUCAAAUGAUUCAAAUUCAGAUCCAUCAGAUUCACGAAUCAAUAUCACAAGCAAAUCUCACGACUGCUACUACUACUACACUACAGUACUACUAACGAUAAACGUUUGAAUCAUUUAAAAAUCAAAUACCAAGGGGCGUAGAACUCGACGACGAUGAAAUCGUGCUUGUUGAUGGUAUCGGUGAAGUUAGUGUGAUCCAAGGUCAACACGAACUCCUUCGUCGUCUCCGUCGCAGUCUCCUCGCUUCUCACGGAGGAAGCGAGCAGCGACAACGCAAGGAUCGAGAACAACGCGUAUCCCCUCAUCGCCAUUAUCUCUCUCUCUCUCACACUAAGCUUCGUUUGGAAAUUAUUAUGUAAGCUCUAAGGGGGAAGCUUUGGGAGAUAUUUAUCAGCUCGUUUCACACAGGGAAAACUCAAUGCUAAAUGGUCAAGUUACCACGUGGCGUUCACUCAUUGGAUAUAACGUCGUCAUAGUUUGGCAAGAACUUAUGUGUAUUAAUACGGUGAUUUGACGAUAUUGACCUUGGCGGUUAUAUAAAAAUAUUGUGUCCGUGACUUCGUGAAAGUAAAUGGUCGAUAUAAAAUAAUGCAUUUAGAUCCUCGAGGAUGGGGCGACGAAGUUGAGGCUGGCGACACGUGGCGGGCGGAUGAGCCAGAUUCUUACACGUGUUCUGCUCCGUUUCCUUCUUGCGCGUCCAGAGCAAGCCCGGUGUAGCGUUUGUGGGCCUUGGGCCAUGUUUCUUAUUUGGGCUUCGACCGUUUUUUUGAUGUCCAUCUCAUAUUUGGGUUUUUCAUCAAACUCAGAUCAGGAUUUCCCACCUCUUCUUGUCAUGUGGCAUCUUCCAAGGUCGAAGGAACCAAAGUGAGAAAACAUGGCUGGAUGGUGAGGACCUUAACCAGAAGAAAAUCCAGGAAAAGUAAAACUUGAGUUUUUGUUUUCAUAUAUUUAUUUAUUAAACUUAGACAAAUAUGUUGAUGCUUUUGUUUAAAGAAGAAAUAUAUGUUGAAGUUUUUUUUGUAAGUAAUGAUAACAUGGAUUGAAAAACGACUGCAAAAAUCCAUAAAUUAAAUUGUUAAAAUUUAUUAUAUUUUGUAAAAUUAGGUAUAUCAC
rnacentral:lncRNA from 1 species